rnacentral:rRNA from 1 species
GACGAACGCUGGCGGCGUGCUUAACACAUGCAAGUCGAGCGGUAAGGCUCCUUCGGGAGUACACGAGCGGCGAACGGGUGAGUAACACGUGAGUAACCUGCCCUUCUCAUCGGAAUAAGCGUUGGAAACGACGUCUAAUGCCGAAUAUGACUUCGGAAGGCAUCUUCUGAAGUGGAAAGCUCCGGCGGAGAAGGAUGGGCUCGCGGCCUAUCAGCUUGUUGGUGAGGUAAUGGCUCACCAAGGCGACGACGGGUAGCCGGCCUGGGAGGGUGGCCGGCCACACUGGGACUGAGACACGGCCCAGACUCCUACGGGAGGCAGCAGUGGGGAAUAUUGGACAAUGGGCGAAAGCCUGAUCCAGCAACGCCGCGUGAGGGAUGACGGCCUUCGGGUUGUAAACCUCUUUCAGUAGGGACGAAGCGAAAGUGACGGUACCUACAGAAGAAGGACCGGCCAACUACGUGCCAGCCGCCGCGGUAAAAC